rnacentral:rRNA from 1 species
GACCCCGCACAAGCGGCGGAGCAUGCGGCUUAAUUCGAUGAUACCCGUAGAACCUUACCUACUCUUGACAUACUUGGAAGCUCUUGUAAUGAGAGUGUGCCUUUUGGAGCCAAGAUACAGGUGCUGCAUGGCUGUCGUCAGCUCGUGUCGUGAGAUGUUCCGUUAAGUCGGAUAACGAGCGCAACCCUUACCCUUAUUUGCCAGCGAUUCGGUCGGGAACUAUAAGGGGACUGCCGGUGAUAAACCGGAGGAAGGUGAGGACGACGUCAAGUCAUCAUGGCCCUUACGAGUAGGGCUACACACGUGCUACAAUGGGGAAUACAGACGGACGCUAAGCCGCGAGGUGGUGCUAAUCCUAGAAAGUUCUUCGUAGUCCGGAUUGGAGUCUGCAACUCGACUCCAUGAAGUCGGAAUC